UACAGAGGUCUCGAGCGUUAGGCGGAAUCACUGGGCUUAAAGCGUGUGUAGGCGGAUCGGUAAGUACCUUGUGAAAUCCCACAGCUUAACUGUGGAACUGCUUGGUAUACUGCCAGUCUUGAGCCAGCUAGGGGCUACCGGAACAAAUGGUGGAGCGGUGAAAUGCGUAGAUAUCAUUUGGAACGCCAAUGGUGAAAACAGGUAGCUGGGGCUGUGCUGACGCUGAGACACGAAGGCCAGGGGAGCAAACGGG
rnacentral:rRNA from 1 species